UGGCCGUAAACGAUGUGGACUUGGUGUUGGAAUGGCUCCGAGCUGCUCCAGUGCCGAAGGGAAGCUGUUAAGCCUGCUGCUUGGGGAGUAUGUCCGCAAGGAUGAAACUUAAAGGAAUUGGCGGGGGAGCACCGCAACGGGAGGAGCGUGCGGUUCAAUUGGAUUCAACGCCGAAAAACUCACCAGGAGCGACGGAUAUAUGAAGGUCAAGCUGAUGACUUUACCUGAUUUUCCGAGAGGAGGUGCAUGGCGUAGUCGUGU
rnacentral:rRNA from 1 species